ACUGAUUUUGGGGGGUGGACUUGCAUGAGGCUGGAAGAUUAUGCUCAGGACUGCCUUUCAGGAAAGGGACAAUUGGUGGCUGCUGAAGUCCAUGUGUUCCACAGGGACCCACAACUGUUUUUCUCCAUGUGAAAAAAGACUACCUUUCCAAUGAUAGAGAGAGUUACUUUGAUGAACUGUGUUGUUCUCUAAGCAUAAAAAAGUACAGAAAAAAGCACCAGUCCAGUUUUUGGGAAGCUCCUAGUUAAAAAGCAUACUUCCCCUAUAUUAUUGUAUUUUGGUUUUUUGAAGAAAGGCAUUUAAAUUCUGCCACAUCCUGUCACAAGCAACAGGGAAAAUACUCACUUGACAGAACUAUCCCACGAUUCUCAGGUUAAUGAUCAAGAAUUUUUCCUACAAGCAAAGAGAGGAGACAGGUAAGGCGGAAAGCAGGGGAAAUAAGUGUUU